UACGUAGGGGGCAAGCGUUGUCCGGAUUUAUUGGGCGUAAAGAGCGUGUAGGCGGCCGUACAGGUCAGCUGUGAAAACUCGAGGCUCAACCUCGAGACGUCGGUUGAAACCGUACGGCUAGAGUCCGGAAGAGGAGAGUGGAAUUCCCGGUGUAGCGGUGAAAUGCGCAGAUAUCGGGAAGAACACCCGUGGCGAAGGCGGCUCCCUGGGACGGUACUGACGCUGAGACACGAAAGCGUGGGGAGCAAACAGG
rnacentral:rRNA from 1 species